UAGUCUUUUACAUCACCUUAAUUUACACCACAUUUUCCAGCUUUCUUAGUCUCCGUGCCAAAACCCAACUGAGAGUUUAUUUCGUGGACGGAAGGAGUACCAUUUAUUUACAAAAAAAUACCCUCAAUUCAAUCUCAAUCACUCAUUUCAAAAAAUGAUGGGUCCCUUUUUCCACUACAUAAAAAUCAUCACCAAUUUUAUUAAAACAUGUGUCCACCAAAAGUGUUAUACUUUUUGUGAACGGAGUGAGUAUUAGGUAUAGAAAAAGAAGGGAAAUAAUUGUAAUGGAAAAUCCCAUUAUAAAAAGUGGAAUAUUUGAAAUAACACGGAGAGAGUAUUGAACAAUCUUUUUGUGAAUGGAGAGAGUAGUAAAAUAAAAAAUUUAAAUAAAGAAAAGUAAAGAAAUACUAUGAUGAUACACUAUAGUAGUGAUGGUAGAUAGAUAGUUUUAUAGUAAUAUAUAAUUAUUAUUUUUUUGGUCUCGAGAAACGGGUGAAAGAGGAAUGAUUAGAUUAAUCCCAAAGUAAAUGGUCCUUUCACGAAAAACGAAAUCUGACUCUCUCUAACCCACGCUCCUUUAACUACCCAAAAGAUCUCCAUUGAGGGGACAUUUUAAGCUAAUCCCAACUCUAAUCCCUCCCUUUCUCUCUCCUCUCCAAACCACAAUGUCUAAUCUUUAACUGGAAGAUCCCACCGACUGCUCUUGUCCUUUUUAUGUCCUUCUCCCUAUAUUUAUUUAUUACUCCAAUAUGUAAAAAACAAUAAAUACAAUCUAAUUCAUUCAUAAAUUACUGCUGCCUUCGUUUCUGCCCUAGCUGCCAGCAAUCAAGACUUGUUCAAAAACAUGUAUAACUUGCGAAUUCGGGUUUCGACAAAAGUGGUUAGAUUUCAGGUUAGCUGGAUUUUUUUCCAACUUUUCGAGAAAUCGCGUUUUCCUAAAAAAGGUUUUGGUCUCCAGUUCCCAGAUCUACCCAUUUGUUUGUUUGUGUGUGGAGAGAUUGAGGGAGUUGACAGAAGAGAGUGAGCCCAGGCAGGCAAUUAUGCAGAGAGAGAUUAUGCCUCUGUGUGGAUGCGUGAGCUCGCUCCUCUUCUGCCAACUUCCCUCUCUUUCCCUCUCUCUUUUCCUCUACAUUCAACCUGCAUUCAUUGUAUUUGGAGUUUCGAGGUCACUUUCUACCCACAUGAAAUCUUCACACACUCACUAUUAACUUUCUUCUUUACUUGUUUUUGAGUAAUAUAUAUUCUUCUCUUCAGUAUUAUUUUUUGCCUUGUAAAGUUGUAAUAUAAAAAAAUUGCGGUGAUUGGGUCCUUAAUUUGGAGGCGGAGUAAUUCGUUUUGGGAAAAUAAGUAUCAGGCUAGACGUUUUCCACGCAAACAAGUAAGUUUGAAACAUAUUUUGGCGUCUUACUUUUUCUACCAUCGAAAGGGGAAAAGAUAGAAAAGAAACAACCACUCGGCAAGGUAUGACUAAGCGAAAAAGGACCUAUGCUAAAUCAUGAGUUAUUUUGCACUCUUAUGAAGUAUAUGUAUAUUGGAGAUUUUAUUGCCGUACGUCAAAACUCUUGGUCAUUGAAAUUUUGGUUCAAGGAUUGAAGAAAAUACAAACAUGGAUAAAGGUAUGAACCAUCUACAUAUGUAGCUCUUACUCAUCUAGAAAUAUGUGUUAUGCAAUGCAUAUUAUGCACUCAAACUUAACUUGUGGGUUCUUUUUGAAGUGUAUGAUCAUAACUUUUAGGAUGUGUUUGCUUUGAGGUAUAAGGAAGGGGUAAUACCUUAUACCUUGUUUGCUUUAAUGUAUGAAAAAAUCCGGGCAGAUUGUAUAAUUUUUCAGGCAGCUCCUUAUCCAUUGGAAAAAUGAUAAUUUUAUAACUAAGAAAGGGAGAUAUAAUUUUAUACCAGGAGUGGAUAAAUAUAUUAUCCUUCAAAUCAAACAAGAUAUAAAAAAUGUGGUUCCCACUUUAAGUGUAUUAUCCCUCCAUUUAAAAGGAUAAAAAGUAAAUACACUCUUAGUUUCUUCUAAAGUACUCCCUCCGUCCCAGCUUUUUGUAUCCACUUUUAGUAGUAUUAAAAGUGGAUACAAAAGCUAGCUGGGACGGAGGGAGUAAUAAGUAAGGAAAAUUGCAUUUGCAAUCUCAAGUAUGAACGUUUUUAGACUUUUCCUCUUUUUUUUACUCUAAAAUAAUGUACCUACUGAAAGUACUCUUUGCAUUGAACUAGUUUGAGCUUCCAUUUGAACUAGUUUUUCACUUGCCACAUUGAACUAGUUUGAGCUACCAUUUGAGUUCAUAGCUAGCCAAAAUCCUUGCAUGUGCUCACAAUUUUUUCAUGUUUUAUGGUGUUAUUUUGUUUAUGUAUUACUCCGUAUAAAAAUAGAAAACAUGGGGCAAUUGGUGAGUUAUAGUACUGAAAAAAAUAAAAAGAAGAUUGGAUGCUUGUCAGUAGAUUUGGGAUGCUUGAAAUUGUCACGUGAAAAAAUUGUCUUCCUUAUUUGGUGGCAUGCCAACCCAAAAAAAAGAUAAAAAUGACAAACUAAACCUGUUCAUACAUUGCCCAUAUCUGUAGUUGAAAUUGUGAAAAUUGGCUAAUCAUCAUCAUGUUUGUUUUCAUAGAUUGAGCGCUGUAGUAAUCUAGUUUAUAUGACAUAAAAUUCUCUACUGUUCAUCAAGCUAAUGUUGUAUUCCCAUAAAUAAGACGUUAUACUAAGUAAUCGUUGGUGUUCACUUUUGUGGUUAAAUCUCAGAAAACUUGAAUGACAACAAAGUUGCAUAAAUACUUUGAGAUGUUGUAGCAGUCAACAAAUCUUGACAUCUUAGUUUGAACUACAUAUGAAGCAUUUCAUGGCUUCAUGAUUCUUCCUUCAUAUUUGUACAAUAUAUAUAUGGUUUUUAGGGAUGACAAUUUAUCCGCGGGUAACGGAUAUCCGCGAAAACCCGAACCUAUUAGGGUAGGUUUGAGAGGCAUUUGAUAUCCACGGAUAGUUUCGUGGUUACAAUUUACUAUCCAUUUAGUUCGUGGAUAUGAGUUUGGAUACUUACUAUUCAUACCUGUGAAACCCGUUUAUCCGCGAAAAAUAUCCGCGAAAAUACCCGUCAAUUACCAGUCAAAUACCCAAAAAAAAAUCCUAAAAAUAUGAGCUUUGAAUAUACAUUUGAGAUAUGGGCCAAUAUAUUUCUAAUCUAAAUAAUUGUUUAUUUCAUAGGUCAAGGAAAGAAUGAAAGUUUUUGGACAUGUCUUGAAAAUGAAGAAGAAGCUUUCAAUGAAGAGAGCUAUAUUUCUACUGUUGAGCAACCAUAGAACUUUGUUGUAUUUUAUAUUUUAGUUGAUGACUUUGGAUUUAAAUUUUGUUAUUUGUGGAUUUCAACAUGUAUGAAAGAUGUGGAUUUGAACUAUGUUAUUUGUGUUGAUUUUUUUUUAUUAUUAAAUUUGUUAUAAAUUUAUAAUUAAAUUAUGUUUUACGGGUAUCCAAUGGAUAGUGGGUGGCGAAUAUCCGGCGGAUAGCGGGUUCGCGGAUACCCGAUGGGUAGCGGGUAUCCGCGAGUGGCGGGUUUGAAUACCAUUUGAUAUCCAUGGAUAGUUUCGUGGUUAAAAACCACUAUCCAUUUAGUUGUUCGUGGGUAUGGGUAUUGAUAGUCACUAUCUGUACCCAUCGUACCCGAUUGCCAUCCCUAAUGGUUUUUCUUUUGCACUGUUAGUGCACUCUGGUUAGUGAUAAUAGUGGAUUGGAGUUUUUGUAAUUAGGAUGAGCUAACUUCCUCUUGUAUUUGGCUCAACUAUUUGAAAUACAUAUGUGAGCUGAAGUGGUGAUUUUUUAUUUUGGUGGAUACAGGGUGAUGGUUGAUGCAUCCCAAUAACCCUGAUUGGUGGUGUUCGGAAGUCGACAAAGUCAGUUGCGACACCGUGAUUCAGCUGCACUGUCAAACGCUCGCUGUGACAUCGUCUAGUUCCUCAUGAAGAUUGCUUUGUUCAGAGGCUAAUUACUGAUUUUAGACUCAUUUUGGAGAUUUUAUCAUAACACUAGUACUCUACUUCUUUCAAGCUGUAAUAAUCUCAUUCUAUAUUCAACCAAUCUUUUUUGUAAUGUAUGAUACACUUAUUUAUGAGGAACAUAAAAGAGUAGUGUGUUCAAAUUUACAAA